GUAUUUGACCAGCUCACACCAGCUAGGCCUCCUCCAAAACUCAGAUAAAUAUUUGAGCCACCAAAAAAAACACGAGAACAGAUCGGUCUGAAUCGUUAAGAACUGAAGCUAACAUCAUAGAAGUACAUCCUUCCAAGAAUCCAUCAAAACAACAUGCUGAACAACUUCAAGAACUCUCUUCAAAAGACCACACUUUCCUGAAAUAAAUAAAAGAUGCCAAUAUUAAAAUAAAUCAGUUACAUGUAUUGUUAAAUAUUUUAAUACUAGCUGUAAAUGCUACUGCCUUUGAUGUUUGCUUCCUACAUGUAUAUCAUAAUGAAAUAUUGACAAGAUAAUAGCUAAUGUUU